rnacentral:rRNA from 1 species
GAGGUAACGGCUCACCUAGGCAGCGAUAAGUAGGGGCCCUGAGAGGGGGAUCCCCCACACUGGUACUGAGACACGGACCAGACUCCUACGGGAGGCAGCAGUGAGGAAUAUUGGACAAUGGGCGGAAGCCUGAUCCAGCCAUGCCGCGUGCAGGAAGACGGCCCUAUGGGUUGUAAACUGCUUUUAUACGGGAAGAAUAAUCACGACGUGUCGUGAGAUGACGGUACCGUAAGAAUAAGGACCGGCUAACUCCGUGCCAGCAGCCGCGGUAAUACGGAGGGUCCGAGCGUUAUCCGGAAUCAUUGGGUUUAAAGGGUCCGCAGGCGGGCAAUUAAGUCAGGGGUGAAAUGGUGCGGCUCAACCGUAGCACUGCCCUUGAUACUGGUUGUCUUGAGUCAUGGUGGAGUGGCCGGAAUAUGUAGUGUAGCGGUGAAAUGCAUAGAUAUUACAUAGAACACCGAUCGCGAAGGCAGGUCACUAACCAUUGACUGACGCUGAUGGACGAAAGCGUGGGGAGCGAACGGGAUUAGAUACCCCGGUAGUCCACGCUGUAAA